CCUACGGGUGGCAGCAGUGGCGAAUAUUGGGCAAUGGGCGCAACCCUGACCCAGCAACGCCGCGUGAAGGAAGAAGGCUUUCGGGUUGGAAACUUCUUUUUUCAGGGACGAAGAAAGUGACGGUACCUGACGAAUAAGCCACGGCUAACUACGUGCCAGCAGCCGCGGUAAUACGUCGGCGGCAAGCGUUAUCCGGAUUUACUGGGUGUAAGGGGCGCGUAGGCGGGGAGGCAAGUCAGAUGGGACAACCACGGGCUCAACCUGUGGCCUGCAUUUGGAACUGUUUUGCUUGAGUGCUGGAGAGGCAAUCGGAAUUCCGUGUGUAGCGGUGAAAUGCGUAGAUAUAAGGAGGAACACCAGUGGCGAAGGCGGAUUGCUGGACAGUAACUGACGCUGAGGCGCGAAGGCGUGGGGAGCAAACAGGAUUAGAUACCCCAGUAGUC
rnacentral:rRNA from 1 species